GAUCCUGGCUCAGGAUGAACGCUAGCUACAGGCUUAACACAUGCAAGUCGAGGGGAAACGAUAUUGGAAGCUUGCUUCCGAUAGGCGUCGACCGGCGCACGGGUGAGUAACGCGUAUCCAACCUGCCCACCACUUGGGGAUAACCUUGCGAAAGUAAGACUAAUACCCAAUGAUAUCUCUAGAAGACAUCUGAAAGAGAUUUAAAGAUUUAUCGGUGAUGGAUGGGGAUGCGUCUGAUUAG
rnacentral:rRNA from 1 species